UGUGUGCAUCCUGCCAUUGGAAAUGUGGGAGAUGGGAGCAGCAGUGCCCUCUGCAGCUCUGAGGCCCUUUUUCUGUUAGCUCCAUGCGCUUGACUCACAUGUCUUUGCCACAUCCUGCAGCAUACCGAUGUCACCUGUGGUGGUCCCAGGAGGUAACCAUGUGAGGUAUUAACAGUGCUUGCGAGGAGUUGAGCUGCAUAGUCGAUCAGGCUUUCAGGCGGCCCAGUGCUUGGACUGCUUGGCCUUGAUGGCACCAGCUGCAUGCCGAUGUGUUCCCCAGCUUUUCUGCCUGUUGGAAGCCAUAAAAUCCACCUCGGUGCUGAGCAACAGCGCUCCAUCCCCAUAGUUGCCGACCCUGCAGCAGGAAUCUCUGCUGAUCUGUGUCUCAGUCCCUUUCUGCUUUCUUCCAGGACGCUGUUUGUGCCGGUACCGAUGAGGAGCGGUUGCUCAGCAUGCAGGAGGUCAUCCAGCAGCUGCCCGCGCCUCACUACAGGACGCUGGAGUAUCUGAUGAGACACUUGGCUUGUCUCGCUGGGAGCUGCUCCGCCACAAUGAUGCCCACUAAGAAUUUAGCGAUUGUGUGGGCUCCCAACCUCUUCAGAUCCCAGCAGAACGAGGCUGCCUGCGCCAGUGGAAGAGCUGCCUGCGAGGAACUGCAGAG